AUUGAACGCUGGCGGCAUGCUUUACACAUGCAAGUCGAACGGUAACAGGCCUUCGGGUGCUGACGAGUGGCGAACGGGUGAGUAAUGCAUCGGAACGUACCCAGAGGUGGGGGAUAACGCAGCGAAAGCUGUGCUAAUACCGCAUGUGAUCUGAGGAUGAAAGCGGGGGAGCGAGCAGCAAUGUUUGGCCUCGCGCCUUUGGAGCGGCCGAUGUCGGAUUAGCUAGUUGGUGGGGUAAAGGCCUACCAAGGCGACGAUCCGUAGCUGGUCUGAGAGGACGACCAGCCACACUGGGACUGAGACACGGCCCAGACUCCUACGGGAGGCAGCAGUGGGGAAUUUUGGACAAUGGGCGCAAGCCUGAUCCAGCAAUGCCGCGUGCGGGAAGAAGGCCUUCGGGUUGUAAACCGCUUUUGGCAGGAACGAAACGGUGUCCGCUAAUACCGGGCGCUAAUGACGGUACCUGCAGAAUAAGCACCGGCUAACUACGUG
rnacentral:rRNA from 1 species